ensembl:miRNA
GAGCAAGCGCAGGAGCUGCUGCCUCGCACAGGAGCAAAUUACCGCGUUCAGCUAAUCCGCAGUAACUUGCUCCUGUGAGAGGUAGCGGCUCCUGGCUCCUC